rnacentral:lncRNA from 1 species
UAUGUUGCCUUUACCCCAGUUGAUUGCCUGUAAAAGUCAGUGCCUGGGACUGUCCAGGGCCUUUGUCGGUUGUACCGGCACUGGUCGUCCUGGCACCUCGCUUUCUCUCCCAGUUCUGCCUCCUAGUAUAUUCUUUUUCUCAGGCCUGUGUCACACACUGGACAAGUGGAUACUAGAACCUGACUACAGGGGUCUUCGACAUCACAUCAGUGCUUUGUGAAUGUGAGAAACACGAAGAUACCAGAGUGUAGGGAACAGGAGGAUGAUGAAGACCCCUGGCCCCUCAAAGACCACCUGCCUGAUGCUACAAAGGUACUGCCUAAAGCUCAAGAUCAUUCCUUGGUUUCAUUUAUGUACAUUUCUAUUCUCAUUAGAUAGUGAACUGAAAAUGAGAAUGUCCUACCAAUAAACGUCCUGUAUCCUCUCUUCUGCAACAUUGGGCUAAUAUGAAAACACUAGAUUCAAGACUUGUGCAUGGUUUUACUUCUAGCCUGGAGCUAGUGCUUUGCUUCUUGCUUUGUGCAACUUAGUUUUUGGCAAUGAUCUUUUUCUUCACAUAGAAAGCAAGAAUUAUGAAAUAACCACAUUCGUGCUAAAGCUGAUAAACCCCAGUGAGGGAGUCCAAGGAUGACACUCUGGUA